rnacentral:lncRNA from 1 species
UUUUUGUUUUUUUUUUAGAGAAAACUUCCUUAGAAGUUUGUUGUACCAGUCUCAUGCUCCCAAGAAAAUUUCUCUGGAUGAAAAAUUAAUGCCCUACAGUGCCCAAGCUGCCAGACCAGUGGCACUCAAAGUUGCAACUUACCCUUUGCUGACAUUCAAGAGCUUCAUGCAUGAAUCUAUCCUCAAUGGCACCAAAAUAUCCUUGCUCUGAUCCCCCUCGUUCUAUGAUUUCUCCACAAUGUACAAAAUAAAUAAACUUUAAAAGAUGAAACAAGCAAACCUUUAAAGCUCACUUGACUAAUGGCACAUACCAAAAGUACAAAAUUGACACAAUCAAGUCUUUCUUAGAUUUAAAAAAAAAAAAAAUCCUUUUGUCAGUAUAGUCAUUAUUGCUGGGAGGUCUACUUAUAUCUUUAUUCAAAAAGUAGAUUGGGAUUUGAGGUGUGACUAUAUAGUGCUGAGACUGAAUUUACAUAAAUACAGUGAAUUCCAUAAAUACAUCAAAAAUAAUACAUGCAUGUAAUACACAAGACCUCACACAUCAAAUGAGUGCAGCACGUCAAAGUAUUUUAUUAGACAGGCUAUGUAUUUAUUUCAAGGGCAGUGUCCCUGUCACUUUUAGAACUUCUCUUUGGGAACCGUCACAGAGCCAAUUUACCACCUCCUCUGGGAAAUCAGUCCACUGAAUGUCACAGGACAUUAAAAAGGUUUCUUCUGUUAGCCAGAUACGGAUUUUUGUCCCUUCUUCCAUCCUUACCUCUUUGAUUUGACUCCAUGAAUGAAAUUUAUAAACUAAUCAUUUAGUACAAAAACAAUAACUAACCUUAAGCUACAGAAAAGAGCAGCAACAAAAACCGAGGUUUUGGACUUAAAAAAAAAAAAAAAUGAUCACGUCAGAAACUGCAUAGCAGCCCUGCUAUUUUGCUGCCGCUCUGCUCUCUCGGCUGUCAUUCCUCCAGAGCUGGGUCUAAUCCUAUACAGAGUUCCACGGAGGAGCCCACGGGAACAAGCUGGGGCUGUAGAUGAGGGGGCCUUAUGUGAUUCGCAUCAGGAAUCAGACUAGCUGGGGCGAGUUCAUUUGUGCCCUGCUUGCAUUAAGUGCCAUUACAUAAUAACAUGGGGAAAUCUGGCUGGAAGCCUUUCUGCAUCAUCUAGAAGCACAAUCACUCUAAGCAGAGAACUGCCUAUAUAGCUCUAAACUCGAGCUGGCACAAUUAAAACACGUUGCAGUACCUAGUGUUAAAUCUCCAAAGACAGCUGGAUGACAUUAAAUUUGUUUUCCUAAUGGUACACCAGACUGCUUUAAAACUAUCUCAUGUACUAUCUUAUUCUUAUACAACUGUGAUUUGAAAAAAUCUAUAUACUCCUUCAGAUCUCACGACUUAGUAGUAAAAUCUGGAGGUUUUUCAUGACAUCUAUUUUAGAACACUAGAUCCCGCUUGCUUUAAUAUAAGCCUAUUUCUUCUCUAUUCAUCCUGAGGAAACAAACAAAAACAUGUUUCUUUUAAUAUCCCUUCAUGCAAGUAAGUCCCCCAAAGCUUGCCAGCUCUAAACGACAUAAGCCCAGACUUGCUGGGCAAUUUUCCAGUCUUUUCUGUUGGUUCCCCCAAAUCAGCUUCUCGAAACGCAGUAAAGGUAAGGUAUGUUUAUGUUCUUUCCGGUGUGAGCAACACCAUCAGUGACUCUGAUGUUCAGAUUUUGUAAAGGGAGAGCAGAGCCUUACAAGUGUAUCCUCGUCUCUCAAGCUAGAGAACAAAAAACAAACAAAACAACAAUAACAAAAGAAAAACAGAACAAAACCAAGAAGCAAACAAGAAUCUUUAUCAGGGGAGACAUCUUUCCCGAGGGGUUACUCUUAGGCCCCAGAGGCGCACAGCAAGUAAAUAUUUCAAGCACAUAAAAGAUCAGCAAGUGCCAUUAUUCCUCGAUUGUUUCUGAAUAAAAAUAAUUUCUAUAAAAAUACUUCUAAAAUUGUCAGGAAAAUCUAUUUCCUGAAUUAACCUUGGGGGGCGGGUCCCUCCCUACCACAAAAUACUCAAUGUCAAACUCUCUACGAGUUCCUAUACCUCCAUGUAGUAAUAGCCAUUCAGAACCCAUCAUUCGGAGGAGUAGCACAUGAGGCUCACCUGCUCCCACAAAUUCAUCAAAAAUCCAUCUAUUUGUGGAACUACAUGUCCGGAAAAUUUGCUGAAUGCUGACAAAACAACCCAGGACUCUGAUAGAGAAAGAAAAACUUCGCAAAACUAGGUAGGACAAUUAAAGAAGAUUAAAAAAAAAAGAGAGAGAAAAGGAGAAACAAAGCAGGUCAGGACCAGUGUCCCUGGGAGAGAACUGGAAAAGGAAAAAAAAAAAACAACAACACCUCUGCACCCUAGGGGGUUCCCCCACAUCAGAGUGGGGACCAGCUGAGACAGAGGAAGAACUCCGGAGUCUUGGAGGAGAAUACACAAUUGGUGUAAAGCAGUUAAAAUGGAAACAGUUCUCUGCAAACGGUCAGUGUCACUGCUUUGCACUCCCCAACCCUAAGCUGGGGCAGACAGGGGUCGGGAACUGAAACUCUAGGUUUGGAGAUCAGACUCAGAGAAAAAGCUAGAGCUGGCUAGCUGGGAAAAAACUAGGAGUGGUAGCACAGAGACGGCCUAGAGGGACUGGAGUCUAGAGUCACCACAUUUGAGGCUGAGGGAUCCCAGCUGGGCUUGGAGGUUAAGUGCCAUUGUUAGGGGGUGCUGGCGAGAAGGGGAGGGAUCCACCACUAUAGCCUUACACCCCGUGAGUGCUCUCAGACUGCAAGACCCCAAGGCCCCAGCUCCAGGAUCUACCCUCGAGCAGUAGCUGCUUAGCAGUAGUUGCUGAGUGGCCCACAGCCCUUAAGGCUACAGAAGAAGUGGAGCAAGCAGAGGGAAUCCGACCUUGGAGCAGACCGAGGGAACUAGGGAAUUGCACAGUUCACAGGACUCCAGCCUGCAGUCAGCCAGGCAGGGGGACACUGAAGUGACUGUUGUAACACUGCAGAGGCACAGGGGAUCGAGGACGGCCCGGUGUGCAGGUGGAGAGCCCCGUUUUCCCUAGAGGACAGAAUGUGAUUUUGGAAAGAGUGCAGACAGACAGGAUUCCGAAAGGGGCCCCCUGAGCAGACAGUGAGUUGCAAUUUGCAUAGGGGGGUGGAGAAAGUUCUUUUGGAAACAGCUAGAAAGAUCCAGGGUCUUGGGAGUCUGCAAAGGGCCUUAGGAUGGGUGCAGCCCUGCAAUUUACCUAGGGGGUGGAGAAAGUUAUCUCUGAAGCAGCACAGGGGGAUGGGAUACCACGAGGGGCCUUCUGGGAGGGCACAAAGCCAAGAUCUCCCUACUAGGUGAAGAAUGCUACCUCAGAAACAGGGAAAGAUCCUGGAAAUCUGCAGGGGGACUUUUGGGUGGGCACAGAGCCACAACUUGCCUAGGGGACAGAGGGUGAUUUGUAAAUUAGAGCAGACUGUCUUCGGGAUUCUGCAAGGGGUCUCUUGGGCAGGCCCAGAGCCCUUAUUUCCCCAGAGGGUGGAGAAAGAUAUCUUGGAAGCAGAGCAAAGGAUCCUGGAAAUCCACAAGGAGCCUUCUGGGUGGAUGGAGAGCUGUGAAAAGCCCCCUGAAAUGGUAAAGCUAUUUCAGAAAUAGUGCAAAAGGUCCUGGGAAUCACAUAAGGCCUGGUGGGCCGGUGAAGAGCUGCAACCUGCAUGGGGGGGUAGAGAAAGUGAACCUGGAAACACACAAAGGAUCCGGAGAGUCACAAGAAGCCAGGUGGGCAGGUGGAAAGCUCCAAAAGAUCCGGUGAAGGUGCAAAGUCAACCUGGAAACAACGCACACAGUCUGAGAGAGCUAAACAGCCCGGCAGACUGGUGGAGUGAUCUCAGGAAGAGCACAAGCUCCGUAAUCCCUGCCAACAAUCAAGCAGGGGACAUCAGAAGCAGCGUAUGUUUGCAUGGUUAGCCAGCAGCUGAGGGGGGCCUGCUGUCUCAAGUUUUUAUUUCACAGCAGCUAUAGGGAAUACUCACCAUCCACCCGGUUGGGGGAGGGACCACCAGAAAAGUGCAGGACUUGUAGCUGCAGAGAAAGACAUGGAAACAACCUACAUAUCCAUCAACAGAUAAAUGGAUUAACAAGAUGUGGUACAUAUAUACAAUGGAAUACUACUCGGCCAUGAAAAAAGAUAAGCGAAUGCCAUUUGCAGCAACAUGGACGGAACCAGAGAUUCUCAUACUAAGUGAGGUGAGGCAGAAAGAAAAAGCCAAAUAUCAUAUGAUAGCACUUAUUUGUAGAAUCUCAAAUAUGGCACAGAUGAUCCCAUCUACAAAACAGAAACAGAUCACAGCCAAGGAGAGCAGACUUGUGGUUCCCAGGGGAGAGGGGGGAGGGAGUGGGAUGGAUGGGCAGUUCAGGGCUUUAUAUUUGGAAUGGUUGGGCAAUGGGUCCUGGGUACAGCACAGGGAACUGUGUGUGAUUGGGUCACUUUGCUGUACCACAGAAACUGAGGAAACAUGGUAAAUCAACUCCACUGUAGUAAAAUAAAAAAAUAAAUAAAUAAUAAAAACCAUCAUCAGGAUACAGCCCUGGGCUUAAAUGUACUGAAAGCAUUACCACCAAUAAAAUUUACCUUGGAAGGGACAUACAGUGGUAGCCAAAUCUUUGGGCUUUGGAACUGGGCUGCCCGGGUUAAACACCUCAGCUCAGCCACUAAUAAAGUCAAGUCUGCACCUCAGUUUCUUCAUGGGAGUUUGACCUACUUCACAGGGUUGUAAGAAGAAUUGAGCUGAGAGACUAAAGCACUUACCUGUAACCCCAAGAACUAAGAGCUCAAUUAACGACAGUCAUAUAUAUUGCUGGUAUCACUUAGCUUUGGUUCUGAAGACUCACAGCAAGACAUUCGUUUUUGACCAUAUAUAAUUUGUUGAUAUUUUAACAAUAUUUUCUCAGGUGACUAAUCAUUCAGAAAAAGAAUAAAGAUUUCAUUGACACAGUUUUAUUAUUUUUAAUACACCAAGUAAUGGAAAUGAUGAAAUCAAGAAAGAUUUUGUCCAUAACACAGUCUAUUAUUGAUUAGAAUUCCAAAAUCAAAGCAAAAUCUCAAUUAAUAACCCCUUUUAAGUUACAUUAUUUUGCGGAUGAAUUACCCCACUGAUACUUAUUUAAUUAAGACCUGGCCCCAGAGAACUGACAUUUUUACUGGCAGGUUAUGAAAUGUUUCCUAAAGCUAUGAAGUCUAAUUAUAAAAGCCUUCUUUCAGAGGUUCACAAAAGGUGGAGAAGAGGCAGAAAAUUAUCUCCCUGGUGCCAAAUGGAGAGUUAUAAAACAAACCAAAACAAAUAGAGUGAAAUCAAAUGAAUGAUGCAGAGUGUAGGUGGUUCAGCAUACACACAUUUGAGAGGCUGAACACAGAACACAGAGCAGAAAAUGGAAAGAUUGGUCCGGUGCCAUUCUUUGGGUCUUUGUAGAAAAUGCCAACAUGUUUACUUUUUUUCUUUUUUCUUCAAUGAGGUUGGCCAUAACUGAAGUUUCAUAGCUGCUAACAUGUGAUCAUUACUCAAACAAUUAGAGUUGGGAGCAACAGAUAUUUUUAAUUAGCUAUCUCACAGCAAGGACCAUUAUAAUCACCUAAUUAUCCAUUGUGGCGAUUUAUGCACAAAUGCUCUAAAUAUCCACUAUCUUACUACCACGGGUGUUAGCUCCGUGUUUAUAGUUUAAAACGAAGGCCGUUUCUGAAAAUACAGUGAUGAAAACAUAAAGAACACAAUUUAAUUCUUUCUUGAGAAAUUUAAAGUUGUUUUCAGAAACUAAGCAAUCACUAAUUACAUCUAAACUCAAAAAUUAGUAUGUAGCUUCAGCUAUUAAAAGUGGCAAAACUAAUAUUCAUUUUCAAUUUACUCACAUAACCAAUCAAGCCUAAAGGUAUUUCUUAGCCUAAAUGUCAAAUGUUUAGCUAUAUUAAAUCAACAAGAUUGCUUAGCUAGAUAAAUAAUUGCCAGCUUUAUCAGGAUAAGAUGCCCUCCUUUACUAACACAAAGCAUGGUUCAAUCAGACUUUAAGAGCAAAUGAAAAAAAAAAAAAAAAAAAAAAAAAAAA